rnacentral:rRNA from 1 species
UACAGAGGUCUCAAGCGUUGUUCGGAUUCAUUGGGCGUAAAGGGUGCGUAGGCGGUUUGUCGCGUCUGCUGUGAAAACUCGGGGCUUAACUCCGGGCCUGCAGUGGGUACGGGCAGACUAGAGUGCGGUAGGGGAGACUGGAAUUCCUGGUGUAGCGGUGAAAUGCGCAGAUAUCAGGAGGAACACCGGUGGCGAAGGCGGCUCUCUGGGACGGUACUGACGCUGAGACGCGAAAGCGUGGGGAGCGAACAGG